rnacentral:tRNA from 1 species
AGUCCUGUAGCUUCAACGGUAGAGCAAUUGCCCUACAAGCAAAGGGUUGCAGGUUCGAUUCCUGCCAAGACUA